AAUGAACGUUGGCGGCGUGGAUUAGGCAUGCAAGUCGUGCGGCAGCAGGCCCCGCAAGGGGUGCUGGCGAGCGGCGUAAGGGAGAGUAACACGCGGGUACCUACCCUCAGGACCGGGAUAGCUGCGGGAAACUGCAAUUAAUACCGGAUGAUGUCUCCGGACCAAAGGUGUAAUUCCUCCGGAGGAGGGGCCCACGUCCUAUCAGCUAGUUGGAGAGGUAAUGGCUCACCAAGGCUACGACGGGUACGGGGUGUGAGAGCAUGCCCCCGCUCACUGGGACUGAGACACUGCCCAGACACCUACGGGUGGCAG
rnacentral:rRNA from 1 species